AACGCUGGCGGCGUGCCUAAUACAUGCAAGUCGAGCGAACAGACGAGGAGCUUGCUCCUCUGACGUUAGCGGCGGACGGGUGAGUAACACGUGGAUAACCUACCUAUAAGACUGGGAUAACUUCGGGAAACCGGAGCUAAUACCGGAUAAUAUAUUGAACCGCAUGGUUCAAUAGUGAAAGACGGUUUUGCUGUCACUUAUAGAUGGAUCCGCGCCGCAUUAGCUAGUUGGUAAGGUAACGGCUUACCAAGGCAACGAUGCGUAGCCGACCUGAGAGGGUGAUCGGCCACACUGGAACUGAGACACGGUCCAGACUCCUACGGGAGGCAGCAGUAGGGAAUCUUCCGCAAUGGGCGAAAGCCUGACGGAGCAACGCCGCGUGAGUGAUGAAGGUCUUCGGAUCGUAAAACUCUGUUAUUAGGGAAGAACAAAUGUGUAAGUAACUAUGCACGUCUUGACGGUACCUAAUCAGAAAGCCACGGCUAACUACGUGCCAGCAGCCGCGGUAAUACGUAGGUGGCAAGCGUUAUCCGGAAUUAUUGGGCGUAAAGCGCGCGUAGGCGGUUUUUUAAGUCUGAUGUGAAAGCCCACGGCUCAACCGUGGAGGGUCAUUGGAAACUGGAAAACUUGAGUGCAGAAGAGGAAAGUGGAAUUCCAUGUGUAGCGGUGAAAUGCGCAGAGAUAUGGAGGAACACCAGUGGCGAAGGCGACUUUCUGGUCUGUAACUGACGCUGAUGUGCGAAAGCGUGGGGAUCAAACAGGAUUAGAUACCCUGGUAGUCCACGCCGUAAACGAUGAGUGCUAAGUGUUAGGGGGUUUCCGCCCCUUAGUGCUGCAGCUAACGCAUUAAGCACUCCGCCUGGGGAGUACGACCGCAAGGUUGAAACUCAAAGGAAUUGACGGGGACCCGCACAAG
rnacentral:rRNA from 1 species